rnacentral:lncRNA from 1 species
UGCGAAGAGAAUUAGCAUAAGAAGAGAUAAUAAGACAUUCUGAAUAAAAAAAAUCAACUAAACUAGGAGUUAUGGAACAAUGUGGAUAAAUUCUUAAGAUACAAAAUGUAGAGAAAUUGAGAAAAUGAAAAAAUAAGCAGAAAAAUACAUAAUAGAAAGAGCUAGGACUCUUCUCAUUAUGUGUUAGUAGUAAUCAUCGAAUAAACUAGCCGAUCUUUGUUCGUUUUAAACAAUCAUUUUGAUCCUGGUUUUGGAAAGUUUCAAAACCAUGAUGUUCAUAAUUACUCAUAAUAAUAAGUUUAACUAGUAGUAAUUUAGUGUUGGUAAGAACGAAGAACCGCUCCACAGAAAGUGCAAACAACGGCUUUCCACGAUGUCCAGUAGAAUGGCACAUAACAAAACCUGGUGGCCGUUUUCACAUCCGCCACGCUAGCUCCACCGCCGCACCGCGAACAUAACCCUGCCGCCGGCUUGCUCCGUCGCACUUCCUUCCUUUGGUCUACCAAAAAACAGAAGCACACCAUCCUGCUGACGUGUCACUACGCUACCCUACUGCUUGAUCCGGCGUCGUUUAGGAAAAGUGUCGUUUUAUUUGCUUAGAAGAGUUUGAGAAAUGAAAUGUUUGAAUGGAGUAAUGUGAUAAAUAGAAGUUCGGUGAGGCUUGUAUAUUAUAGGGAGAAGCGUGUAGGUUAAAGUUCGAACUUCUUUG